rnacentral:rRNA from 1 species
CAUGCAAGUCGAACGAGAAAUUGGGAGCAAUCCCAUGAGUAAAGUGGCGCACGGGUGAGUAACACGUGACUAACCUACCUCCGAGUGGGGAAUAACCCCGGGAAACCGGGGCUAACACCGCAUAACACCGCAAGGUCAAAUGCGUAAGCAGCUUGGAGAGGGGGUCGCGGUUGAUUAGCUAGUUGGUAGGGUAAUGGCCUACCAAGGCAAUGAUCAAUAGCCGGCCUGAGAGGGCGCACGGCCACACUGGAACUGAAACACGGUCCAGACUCCUACGGGAGGCAGCAGUGGGGAAUUUUGCGCAAUGGGGGAAACCCUGACGCAGCAAUGCCGCGUGGAGGAUGAAGUCCUUUGGGAUGUAAACUCCUUUCGAUCGGGAAGAUAAUGACGGUACCGGAAGAAGAAGCCCCGGCUAACUCUGUGCCAGCAGCCGCGGUAAUACGGAGGAUGCAAGCGUUAUCCGGAUUCAUUGGGUUUAAAGGGUACGUAGGUGGCCUGAUAAGUCAGUGGUGAAAACCUGUCGCUUAACGAUAGGCGUGCCAUUGAUACUGUUAGGCUUGAGUCCAGUUGAGGUAGGCGGAAUGUGUAGUGUAGCGGUGAAAUGCAUAGAUAUUACACAGAACUCCGAUUGCGAAGGCAGCUUACUAAACUGACACUGACGCUGAGGUACGAAAGCGUGGGUAGCGAACAGGAUUAGAUACCCUGGUAGUCCACGCCGUAAACGAUG